GAUGAAGAACGUAGCGAAAUGCGAUAAGUAAUGUGAAUUGCAGAAUUCAGUGAAUCAUCGAAUCUUUGAACGCACAUUGCGCCCGCCAGCAUUCUGGCGGGCAUGCCUGUUCGAGCGUCAUUUCAACCCUCGAGCCCCCCCGGGGGCCUCGGUGUUGGGGGACGGCACACCAGCCGCCCCCGAAAUGCAGUGGCGACCCCGCCGCAGCCUCCCCUGCGUAGUAGCACACACCUCGCACCGGAGCGCGGAGGCGGUCACGCCGUAAAACGCCCAACUUUCUUAGAGUUGACCUCGGAUCAGGUAGGAAAACCCGCUGAACUUAAGCAUAUCAAUAAGCGGAGGA
rnacentral:misc_RNA from 1 species